CUGGUCUCCACGAUAUGAAAGUGGGGAGAGUCAAGAAUUAGGAGUAUCCCACUUGAACAGCAAAAGAUCACAAACAGGCAUCCUCUCUACCUGGGCUUUGCAGACUCCAGCCCGUUCUCCUUCCACCAGUUCUCCAUCCGGGUGUCCCAGAAGACCGGCCUUUGAGGUGGGUCCAGAUAAUCCUUGGGAGCGUGGGAACCUGAGCUACUAGGCUGCUUCUCCCGGGCAGCCAUUGCGAACCUUCUCAGACCAGAAUCCCAGCAGCAGCGAGCUCGCGCCAGGGAUGAGCUUCCCUUCUCCGCCCCCUAGUUUUGCUAGAGAGUGCAGGACGCGCGCCGAGUCCCACACAGGGCUGCCCGCUCUCCCGCUCCUUUCCGCGGCGUCCAAGGGUGGCCAUCUUCCGAGCUGGGAGCGCGAAAGCCCCGAGGAGCGCCCCCUUUGGAGAGUGCCCGUCUCAGGCUGAGCUCGCGGAAGGAGUGGACGCGUGGGUCGCAGCACGCGCGGCAGCUGUGCACAGUUACCCACCGCUGGGACCUCCACGGCCGCGCAACCCCCCGGGGUGCGAAAUCCGACCCCCACCCCACGUCGGCCCAGUAGGCCCAGAGGAGGACGAUUCUGGACGUGGGAUGAGCGCAGGAGAUUCACUUUCCUUCCCUCCUGAACGUCCCGAGCUCGAUUCAGAGCCUGAGUGCGCGAUGACCCGGUGGCCCCCCGGGUGCCGCGUGGACCAUUUGGUGACGUUGUAGACCUUGCGGUCGACCACGAGCCACUUGUCG